UACGUAGGGUGCGAGCGUUUGUCCGGAAUUAUUGGGCGUAAAGAGCUUGUAGGCGGUUUGUCGCGUCUGCUGUGAAAAUCCGGGGCUCAACCCCGGACUUGCAGUGGGUACGGGCAGACUAGAGUGUGGUAGGGGAGACUGGAAGUUCCUGGUGUAGCGGUGAAAUGCGCAGAUAUCAGGAGGAACACCGAUGGCGAAGGCAGGUCUCUGGGCCACUACUGACGCUGGGGUGCGAAAGCAUGGGGAGCGAACGAGG
rnacentral:rRNA from 1 species